rnacentral:lncRNA from 1 species
AUCGCAAAGCCUGGGGAAACGGGCACAUCUUAGAGCUGCUGGGGCCAGUGGGAUUUUCUACCCUCAUGGGUUUGCGGGGGAGGCUUGGCCUGUUUGGUCCAAAGCCUAGUGGAGAGAGGCGAGGAGGUGCAGCUUGGAGAGACAGGAAGGCACCCCAGGAGAGGGUGUGUGAAAGGUAGCAGGAGCUGAUUAACUUUUUUCCUGCAGUCUUGCUGGACUGCUGCUUAGUCUAUGUCCUGCAAGGUGGACUUGAUUUUCAUGGUUUUUUCGCUUUCCCUAACUCUACUUUUCCAGGCAUCUGUCCUUCUUGAGAGGAGGAAAUGACCAAGUUCCAGGAAUGGUCAACUACUUAGUUUAGAAGAAGAAAGGACAUAUGAUUUAUAUGACUAGGGAAAAAAUUGAGAUCAGAAGUGUACUUUGGCUGAGAGGAAAAAAAGAGGAAUGAUCAAAGGAUGGUGAUCUUGAUAAAGCAGAUGUCAUGGAGGAGGAAGAGGAGAAAAAAUAGGAAGAUGUUUUUAAGCGCUCCCAACCUCACCUUCCUUCUGGGGCCCUUUGUGCAGAUGGUUGUCAGUUGAGGAGGAAUGUGCUUCAUCUUUUAGGAACCAGUAACCUUCAAGGAUGUCUCUGCGGAUUUCACAAGGAGGAGUGGGGUUGCUGGACCCUGCUCAGAGGAAGCUGCACACAGCUGUGAUGCUGGAAAACUACAGUCACUUGGUCUCAGUGGUCUUAUGUUCACAGUGAUACUGGAGUGUACAUCCUCAGCUGAUGCUCAUCCCUUUUUGGUGCAUGUGUGUUCUACUUACAGGGGACACCUCUGCUGACUGGGCUUUGGGAUGGAUCUAAUAAGAAUCCAGAUGGUGAGUGAUGUAGACCCUUUUUUUUGAGGUUACCUCUUCAGGCCAGUAAGUUAUCCGGGACAUGCCCUGCUUCAGUCUCCAGCUCUGGGGUGUCUUCCUUGUCAGAAAUUCCACUUCACAGGUUUU